GGGGCGGUAGCUCAGCUGGCAGAGCGCAUCGUUCGCAAUGAUGAGGUCAGGGGUUCGAAUCCCCUUCGCUCCA
rnacentral:tRNA from 1 species